GGGAUGUAUGCCCCUUCAAAGUUGUAAUGUGGUGAAUAGAUUACAGAUUUUGAAAGAAGCAUGUGAAGGAAAUUCCUCAUUGUUGAAUGAGGUCGAGAAGCUCAACUCUGUGAUUACUAGGAAACAGCAUGUAGAGAGCUAAAAUUUUCUACAUGGUGGGAUCUUAUACCAGAUAUGUAUAUAUUGAUCUAUUAAGUAUUUUUACAAAAGGAAGUUUUGUACAUC
rnacentral:misc_RNA from 1 species